UUCAUUUCUGAACGCGUUUGUGGGGUUUGGUUUGGACCACGUUUGGGCAUCGGAGUAAAGUAUUGUCAAGGAGGGUUCGCUGGUGUUUGUCGGUGUCGGAUUGAGUUUCGUUAGCGGAUUUUGUGAGAGUGACCACCUUGCGCACCUGCUCGCUGCAAUAUCCCGGCUGUUACACCCGUCUGGUCGACCAUGUCCCGAACCUGCGUGAAUUCGCCUGAACCUGCGCAAACCUGCGUCCAGCCAAAGUAGAAGCGAGUAAUGGAGUAACGCUUAGUUUUUGUAGAUUUUAACGAACGCGUGUCGGGAUCGACGCUGAGUGUUAAAGAAGCCUCGAAUAAGACAUGAGAAUGGCGAAAACGAGAAAUCGGAGUGUUCGACGCGUUUCAAUUGCGAGCUCUUUUGGUCUAUUGUUGGACAAGAAUUGACCUCAUAUCAAAGAAGGAAAGGAUGAGAGGAACACAAUUAUUACCAAUGCGCCUGCUUCGGAGACAAGUGCUUCGCGUUGUCAGUUCUUGCUUCUUUAUCAGUUGGUCGCAGAGCGAAGAUAUCGAUGUUGCAUUUUGGCUUUCAUGCGAUGCAACUCCACGAUUCGAUAUAAAUUCGUGAAACCAACAAUUUGCAUUUUAUGGAUAAAAAUGAUGAGAUUAACUGGACCAUGACAACCAAAAAGAUUGCAAGGACAUUUCAACGACUUUGUAAUUCUUGGUGUUGAGAAUCCUUUUUUAUAUACAUUUCAUCUAGAGUAUUAAUCAAGGAUAAAGGAUACGUGCUCAAAGAGCAAGGUUCAUUAUGGACGAAGGCAUGCUGGAUGAUUUGUUGGAAUGCUCGGUCUGCCUCGAGAGAUUAGAUACUUCUAGCAAAGUUUUACCAUGCCAACAUACUUUUUGCAAAAAAUGUCUGGAAGACAUAGCAAAUACACAUCGCGAGUUACGAUGCCCAGAGUGUCGGAUCCUGGUUGAAGUAAAGAUCGAUGACUUGCCACCUAAUGUUUUAUUGAUGCGCAUUUUGGAGGGCAUGCGUAAUGCUGGACCUAGGAAUGGAAAGAAUUCUACACGCACGAAUGCUACUCCUAGGCGACCUUUCGCAGGCCACCAGGUCGCCCCUGUACCUAUCAAUACUUCCAUUGCCCCUAUUGUAGCUCCCGAUUCUACUGUCAGACAUGCAGAUUCUUCUGCUAAACUUACCCGAUCACAUCCUCAGCCGUACGGGCGAGCCAUUUACGAUUAUGUCUCUAAAGUUCCAGGGGAUUUAAACUUCAGAAAGGGAGACAUUAUUACGCUAAGAAAGAAAAUUGAUAACAAUUGGUACUUUGGAGAGUCUAGCAGCAGUCAUGGUGUCUUUCCAUUAUCUUACAUUCAGGUGGUAACGCCAUUGCCACCUCAUAUUCCUCAGUGCAAAGCUUUAUACGACUUCCGAAUGACCAACGAUGAAGAAGAAGGUUGUCUGACUUUUAACAAGGGUGAGGUUAUCAGUGUAAUUAGACGAGUGGAUGAAAAUUGGGCAGAGGGAAAAUUGCUGGACCGAAUUGGUAUUUUCCCUCUGGCAUUUGUAGAACUGAAUGGUGUAGCUAGAGCUCUUAUGAAGCUGUCUGCAAACGCACAACCAGGCCCAUCCAGAGUGGCUCCACCAACUCCUACUAACGAAGAAACAACACCGUUGAUACCAACUGACCAUUCGCGAAACGUACAAACUACAAGCCAUCCUCGUCCUCAACCAGCACCCACCUCCACACUGCCAGUGUCAGACUCAAACUCCACCCUUUCCUCUGGAGGUAGUUCUACGACAACAACCACACCAAAUACUCCAAAUAGUUCGAGCACAUCUAGCAGCUCAAGCACGGCUCCAAGCAGCCCUGGUAGCCCAGCUACUUCUCCGAUGGCAGUAGGCACAAGGCAAAGCGUCAAACGCCACAGUUUCACUGCCAACACAAGGCAUCAUUCUCAUUCACACUCUCACCACAGACACAGUGCGGAGAUACUUAGUCCUGCAGUGGACGCUCUAAUAGCUGGGAACGGUUCAACUAAUGGCAACGGAACUGGAAAUGGCGCUGGCUCCAAUGAACAUUUUGCUUUGGCGGUUUUGACGAGCCCUGACCCUACGGAGUACAGUCUUCGCCAUCGCCGCAGUGGAAGUAGCGACCAGGUCCUCGCCCAAAGUCUUUCGACAAGUGUAGUCAACACUGCGAGCACUACCUCCAACAGUUGCCACUUGCCCGCAGCGUACAUAGCCUUGUAUCCGUACAAACCUCAAAAAGCUGAUGAGUUAGAGCUUAGAAAAGGCGGCAUUUAUAUGGUCACCGAACGUUGUCAAGAUGGCUGGUUCAAGGGAACGUCGAAUCGUACCCAAAAGUGUGGAGUCUUUCCAGGCAACUAUGUCACACCUGCGAAAUGCCAACGCGGUGCCUGUCGUACAGCUUCGAGUGGCUCGGUACCGUCCCAACAGGGUGCCGCCCUGGCUUCCGUACAAGUGAGCGCCGGUGAACGAUUACACGCCUCUUGUACAAGGACAAAUAAGAGCGGCCCUUCUUUGCAGCAACCGUUCAAUUUACACUCCCUGCCACCGCCGGAAUUACCCCCGCGGUCUGCCAGUCCUAGCCCCGUGUCUUCGUCGACCUGGCUAAAUAAGAGCCAGUCUCCACCCCGAGGUGGCGAGCAAUCAAUGAACGCUACCGGCACGACCCCCACCACAUCCAGCAGUGCCGCCACUACUGUGAUUGGACGAACCCAUGCGACAGUGUCGCCGCCUACUGUCGCAGCGUCGCCAGGUAGUCAAGCAGCAGUAGCUCCUAUUUUGCCAUCAACUCCUGAUGUUCAUCGUGAACCAAGUCGAAGUCCGAGCAGCACUGCUCGCAUGUCCUCCAACGCGCCCAUGUCUCUCCCGACCGCGUCUACCGUUGCACCAUUAAUUAAUGUGAGAAGCGCUGAAAAGCCGAAAGAGAAGAAGGACCACAAGGGCGUUUCCUUGAUGCGGCGUUUGACGAACAUCAAGAAAUCCAAAUCACCUCCUCCGGCCACGUACUCCAUGGAUAAUCCUGUGUUUGACGAUGGGAACUCUAUCGGCACCUCCAAUCCAGUACACAUGCGGUCGGGGUCUUGCCCCAGCCAGUUGCUACAGAUGGGGCCUGCGCAAGAAAUAAAUAAUCCGGUGCACAACCAACAACGAUUGCACCUAGGAUCCGGUCAAGGACUCACACAUGCCGUCAUUUCUGAGAGGGCUAAACAAAAGGAGAAAUACUCCCUGCCUGUCUCCCAAUGUGUUUUUACGCAGAGGCCUGGAGAUCCGACAACGGCGACAAACCCGACCGGCAGUAGUCAUCAUCGCAAGAGCAACUCUUUAGACGCUGGAAUGGGAAAGCACAUAAAGCAGCACCAAUUUUCAUCGAGAGAAAGGGAACGCGUAUACAGAUUUCGUUGUAUCGUCCCAUAUCCUCCGAACAGCGAGUUCGAAUUGGAGCUGCGCGUCGGAGACAUAAUCUACGUACACAAGAAACGCGACGACGGUUGGUAUAAAGGCACGCAGGAACGCACAGGUCGUACCGGUCUCUUUCCGGCCAGCUUCGUCGAAGCCUUUUGAGAUUCAACCAGCGCUCGAUUCCUAUUGGAGACCUGCAUUUAAAUCGUUCGCGCUGUAGCCGAGAGGUUGUCACCAUUAGCCAUAUCGCGGCGUUUAUCGAGACUAUAGACGACGAAUCGUUCGAGGACGCGGGAUGGCGAUUGAAAUCGACUCAGUGAAGAAACUCUUCCGCGCGAUGAUGACACCUAGUGGAAGAUGUUUCGCGAGAAAUUCACGUUCGUAAAAAAGUGAACUUGCUUCCCGUCCGCGUGUAAACCUUAUUCCGAUGUCUAAGAUAGAAAACGCGUAUAGACUAGAGGCAUACAAUUCCCCUUUUUGGAGGUGGUUGCGAAAGACACUCGGAAAAGCGUCCCUUGCGGUGACUUUUACCAUUGAUCGGUGAUCGUGCUCGAUGCGUCACUGUUGAACAUUAUCAGUCGAGAGGAUGGAGAAAGUGACGUCGCUAGGGUAUAAGUUUUUCUUUUAACUCCACUUCCAAGGAAGGGACUCGAAGCCCGUUGCCGUAUGUAUGUAUGCAUGUAUGUACGUAUGUGAGCGUGAUUGUGCGCAAUUCGAUGUACUCGAGGUGACUAGGUAAUAAGCUUAAUUCGGAAUCGUCUGUACUGCCAUUAACCCCUUACCGAGUGUGCGGAGACGAAGGCGAGGCGUAUAUCGUGAAUAUUAUCCGUCGCGUUUAUGUGCAUGUACACUAGUGAUAUCGCAACUAUCGCAUUUAUAUAAUUGACAUUCGAUCGAUCGUCGGAGCUCGGGACAUCACUUCGCGUCAAAAUACUUUUCGAGCAGUCCAAAACACCCUGUCCUCUUCGGGGGAAUACAAACGUACCAUGCCGCUCCAAAUCGUGCCUUCGAUAUUGCCAGGAAAAUUCGCGGUAAAUAGCGACACCAGGAGUGUCUUCGGAAAGAACGGUUGGGCUGGUUUGAAACGGCGUUCAAUCUUUAUUAGCGUUGUACGAAAUCGAUUCGAGAACUCGUUAUUUCCGAAUGCAUCUCGACUGGUCUCUCGUGCACGAAACGCAUCGCCACGAUGUCAUGUCCCGUGCCUUUAAACCCUGCUUCGAAAAGAAUGGAAACCAUUAACGUGUAGCGACCAUUUUCUUUACUAGCUGUUUACAUAUAUUAUACACGGUGUAAAACUGCUAAUUGGUGUUUAAGAAGUCAUUAAAGUGUACUUUGUUUUUCGUCCGCGGAAGUCGUUUACCGAACGCCUGACGAUGCGACGAGCUUGGUCUUAAAUAUUUAAUAAACUAGUGAAUAAUUAUGCUACAAGCAAUGCAAUGACGCGCAAUACUUUUCUCCGUCGACUGGCACUGCGAUUAUUUACCUGUAUGAAGUACAACAUUGUAUACGGUUAGUUAGAAUCGUUUCUUAUACGUUUUCUCGAAUUCUGUAACCUGCGAACUUUGCGUCGUCGAGGUAAUCUGUGACGUCAGUUUUAAUAUUACGUAAUUUCACUUUU
rnacentral:misc_RNA from 1 species